UACGUAGGAGGCGAGCGUUGUCCGGAAUCACUGGGCGUAAAGAGCGUGUAGGCGGCAAGGCAAGUCUGCUGUGAAAGCGCCCUGCUUAACGGGGCGAGGUCGGCGGAAACUGCCUAGCUAAGAGGACGGUAGAGGGGGGUGGAAUUCCCGGUGUAGUGGUGAAAUGCGUAGAGAUCGGGAGGAACACCAGUGGCGAAGGCGGCCCCCUGGGCCGGUCCUGACGCUGAGACGCGAAGGCGCGGGGAGCGAACGG
rnacentral:rRNA from 1 species